rnacentral:rRNA from 1 species
AGCGAACGCUGGCGGCAGGCUUAACACAUGCAAGUCGAGCGGGCCCUUCGGGGUCAGCGGCAGACGGGUGAGUAACGCGUGGGAACGUGCCCUUCGGUUUGGAAUAACCCUGGGAAACUAGGGCUAAUACCGGGUACGCCCUUAUGGGGAAAGGUUUACCGCCGAAGGAUCGGCCCGCGUCUGAUUAGCUUGUUGGUGAGGUAACGGCUCACCAAGGCGACGAUCAGUAGCUGGUCUGAGAGGAUGAUCAGCCACACUGGGACUGAGACACGGCCCAGACUCCUACGGGAGGCAGCAGUGGGGAAUAUUGGACAAUGGGGGCAACCCUGAUCCAGCCAUGCCGCGUGAGUGAUGACGGCCUUAGGGUUGUAAAGCUCUUUUACCCGGGACGAUAAUGACGGUACCGGGUGAAUAAGCCCCGGCUAACUUCGUGCCAGCCGCCGCGGUAA